rnacentral:RNase_P_RNA from 1 species
CGAGCCGGGCGGACGGCCGCGUGAAGUUCCCGCGAGGGGCUUCCCGAGGAACGUCCGGACUCCACAGGGCAGGGUGGUGGCUAACGGCCACCCGGGGUGACCCGCGGGACAGUGCCACAGAAAACAGACCGCCGGGGACCUCGGUCCUCGGUAAGGGUGAAACGGCGGUGUAAGAGACCACCAGUGCCCAGGGUGACCUGGGCAGCUAGGUAAACCCCACCCGGAGCAAGGUCAAAAGGAGACACCCCGGUGUCUCUGCGCGGACGUUCGAGGGCUGCCCGCCCGAGUCCGCGGGUGGACCGCACGAGGCCGGCGGCAACGCCGGUCCUAGAUGGAUGGCCGUCUCCCCGGCCGCCGCGAGGCGACCGGGCGACAAAAUCCGGCGUACAGCCCGACUCGUCUG